rnacentral:rRNA from 1 species
GAUGAACGCUGGCGGCGUGCCUAAUACAUGCAAGUCGAGCGAACGGACGAGAAGCUUGCUUCUCUGAUGUUAGCGGCGGACGGGUGAGUAACACGUGGAUAACCUACCUAUAAGACUGGGAUAACCUCGGGAAACCGGAGCUAAUACCGGAUAAUAUUUUGAACCGCAUGGUUCAAAAGUGAAAGACGGUCUUGCUGUCACUUAUAGAUGGAUCCGCGCUGCAUUAGCUAGUUGGUAAGGUAACGGCUUACCAAGGCAACGAUGCAUAGCCGACCUGAGAGGGUGAUCGGCCACACUGGAACUGAGACACGGUCCAGACUCCUACGGGAGGCAGCAGUAGGGAAUCUUCCGCAAUGGGCGAAAGCCUGACGGAGCAACGCCGCGUGAGUGAUGAAGGUCUUCGGAUCGUAAAACUCUGUUAUUAGGGAAGAACAUAUGUGUAAGUAACUGUGCACAUCUUGACGGUACCUAAUCAGAAAGCCACGGCUAACUACGUGCCAGCAGCCGCGGUAAUACGUAGGUGGCAAGCGUUAUCCGGAAUUAUUGGGCGUAAAGCGCGCGUAGGCGGUUUUUUAAGUCUGAUGUGAAAGCCCACGGCUCAACCGUGGAGGGUCAUUGGAAACUGGAAAACUUGAGUGCAGAAGAGGAAAGUGGAAUUCCAUGUGUAGCGGUGAAAUGCGCAGAGAUAUGGAGGAACACCAGUGGCGAAGGCGACUUUCUGGUCUGUAACUGACGCUGAUGUGCGAAAGCGUGGGGAUCAAACAGGAUUAGAUACCCUGGUAGUCCACGCCGUAAACGAUGAGUGCUAAGUGUUAGGGGGUUUCCGCCCCUUAGUGCUGCAGCUAACGCAUUAAGCACUCCGCCUGGGGAGUACGACCGCAAGGUUGAAACUCAAAGGAAUUGACGGGGACCCGCACAAGCGGUGGAGCAUGUGGUUUAAUUCGAAGCAACGCGAAGAACCUUACCAAAUCUUGACAUCCUUUGACAACUCUAGAGAUAGAGCUUUCCCCUUCGGGGGACAAAGUGACAGGUGGUGCAUGGUUGUCGUCAGCUCGUGUCGUGAGAUGUUGGGUUAAGUCCCGCAACGAGCGCAACCCUUAAGCUUAGUUGCCAUCAUUAAGUUGGGCACUCUAAGUUGACUGCCGGUGACAAACCGGAGGAAGGUGGGGAUGACGUCAAAUCAUCAUGCCCCUUAUGAUUUGGGCUACACACGUGCUACAAUGGACAAUACAAAGGGCAGCGAAACCGCGAGGUCAAGCAAAUCCCAUAAAGUUGUUCUCAGUUCGGAUUGUAGUCUGCAACUCGACUACAUGAAGCUGGAAUCGCUAGUAAUCGUAGAUCAGCAUGCUACGGUGAAUACGUUCCCGGGUCU